CCUACGGGAGACUGCAGUGAGGAAUAUUGGUCAAUGGGCGGGAGCCUGAACCAGCCAAGUCGCGUGAGGGAAGACGGUCCUAUGGAUUGUAAACCUCUUUAGGCGGGGAGAAAUGCCGGGCACGUGUGCCCGGAGGGAGAGUACCCGCAGAAUAAGCAUCGGCUAACUCCGUGCAAGCAGCCGCGGUAAUACGGAGGAUGCGAGCGUUAUCCGGAUUUAUUGGGUUUAAGGGGUGCGUAGGCGGAUUUUUAAGUCCGCGGGAAUAUGUCCGGGCUCAAGCCGGGCCGGCCGUUGAAACUGGGGAGCUUGAGUGGGCGAGAAGUAUGCGGAAUGCGUGGUGUAGCGGUGAAAUGCAUAGAGAUCACGCAGAACUCCGAUUGCGAAGGCAGCAUACCGGCGCCCGACUGACGCUGAGGCACGAAAGCGUGGGGAUCGAACAGGAUUAGAUACCCUUGUAGUC
rnacentral:rRNA from 1 species